rnacentral:rRNA from 1 species
UACGGAGGAUGCAAGCGUUAUCCGGAUUUAUUGGGUUUAAAGGGUGCGCAGGUUGUUUGAUAAGUCAGUGGUGAAAGUCUGUCGCUUAACGGUAGGAUUGCCAUUGAUACUGUUGGACUUGAAUAUGGAUGAAGUAGGCGGAAUUUGUGGUGUAGCGGUGAAGUGCAUAGAUAUCACGAGGAACUCCGAUUGCGCAGGCAGCUUACUAAGCCAUAACUGACGCUCAGGCACGAAGGCGUGGGGAUCAAACAGGAUUA